GAAUAAGAAGCAAACAUUUGCAGUUAGUUUCGACCUAACCCUGGAUAUUAAUUUAUCCUUAUUUA
rnacentral:tRNA from 1 species